GCGGGCUGGAUUUGGCCCCCGAGCCUUGAGUUUGACACGUUUUAAUCAGUCCAGCAUUUUGCUCAUUUGAGCAACAGUGCAAAGUGAUUUACAUCAUGAAACCUUAAAAACAACAUACAGUCACCACACUGUGUAACCCAGGGUAAAAACUGCCUUAGUCCCACCUUUGCUACUUCAUUGGUUAGAGUGACAGUCAGUCACACAGUGCAAUCAGCCAAUCACUGCACCUGAAGUAGGUUUUUCAGGCCUGCUCCAGCUUUCCCAAUCAGCUGUGAGAGGGAGAGCUGGAGACAAAGGAGCUGCAGAUCUGAAUAUCCAGUGAGCUUGGAGCCAUGAAGCUGCCAUGCACUGAUCUUUAAAAGGAAUUGGCCAGGUGAUUUCCCCUUUUUGGGGUUAAAGGAUGGCGAGCUUCUAAGAUCUGGCUGGAGCCAGGAGAACCGAAUUUCACUCCAUACUGGUCUGGUAGGAGUUUGAUGGUCCAUGAACUUUCCCCUCCUUCUCAUUACACAGACACACUACCCAUUAUUCACCCUUUCCAUCAGAGCUGAAUUGCGCUUGGACAUUUUUCCCUAAAGUUUCUGGAUAAACAAACUAUGGACUUCUAAAUGUGUGUCGGUCAGACACUGUGUUGACCAAGCGGGGAAAAGUGAAGGACUCUGUGCACAUUAGAACAUCAACUGCAGUAUUGUGUAUAUAUUUAUUGUAUUUUGGUUUCCAUGUA